UUUGCAUUUCUUAUUAAUUAAGGGCGAAGCCAAACGAGCGUAAAUUGUGAGUCGUGAGCCGCAGAAUUCCUGCCGGGCAGAAUUUUUUUCAUACAAAUCACGACUCACAAAAUUACGCUCGUGUGAAUCAAACAGGACUUUUGUAUGAAACUGAAU